rnacentral:rRNA from 1 species
AUUGAACGCUGGCGGCAGGCCUAACACAUGCAAGUCGAACGGUAACAGGAAGCAGCUUGCUGCUUCGCUGACGAGUGGCGGACGGGUGAGUAAUGUCUGGGAAGCUGCCUGAUGGAGGGGGAUAACUACUGGAAACGGUAGCUAAUACCGCAUAAUGUCGCAAGACCAAAGAGGGGGACCUUCGGGCCUCUUGCCAUCGGAUGUACCCAGAUGGGAUUAGCUUGUUGGUGGGGUAACGGCUCACCAAGGCGACGAUCCCUAGCUGGUCUGAGAGGAUGACCAGCCACACUGGGACUGAGACACGGUCCAGACUCCUACGGGAGGCAGCAGUGGGGAAUAUUGCACAAUGGGCGCAAGCCUGAUGCAGCCAUGCCGCGUGUAUGAAGAAGGCCUUCGGGUUGUAAGGUACUUUCAGCGGGGAGGAAGGGAGUAAAGUUAAUACCUUUGCUCAUUGACGUUACCCGCAGAAGAAGCACCGGCUAACUCCGUG